UGGAAAAUGCCAGUGGAGUUGUCAGAUCAACACGCUCGCUUGAGAGAAAUCGCAGCACGCCUCAAUGAGCCUUUGGUCAGGAGGUGAAUGAGGACGCCUAACAUCCAUAGCAGUUCCAAGAAAACGGACAGAUGCUUCUGCGCAUCUCUUCAUGCACCUAUCCGGUUCUAGAAGAGAUCGCAAAGACGUCACAGACUGAGUCCCGAUUUUGCCAAGUCUGCAACCAAAAGGAGAAACAUCUGAUGCUGAUGCUUAAAGGGAUACUCCAUCCAAACAUGAAGGUUAUUGCUAAACGCUAAACUGUUUAACAUUUAUGCAUUUGGCAGUCACUUUUUUCCAAAGCGACUUACAUGGCAUUGUAUCAUUCAUUUCCUUCUGACAUCUGUUUUAUAGACCGUCGUCCAUGGCAACCGUCUCCAACCCUGUGCUAGGUUUAAGUCUCUAGCACUUUGCUAUCUCCUUACACAUAAUGAAAUAAUUGACAUUGCAGUCAAUAUUUUAUGUUCAUUUAGUAUUUUAUAGCCAGAUAAUAAGUGGUACAGGGCAGCCGUUAUGGCAAAAGAAACACCUUCAGGGUAAUACAAAACCAGAUCACCCUGUAGGGUAUAUUUUGCAGAAAUGUCUGACUAUGUGUGAGCCCUUACUGACAAGAAUCAGCUGAUUCAUUUGCACAGUAAUGAAUCAGUUCGUAAUAGAGCACACGGUGCGCUUACUUCCAGAAUUAGUCAUACUUGAUUUGAGAUCAUUGAACUUGGUGAGAUUUGUCAGGAAUACACAUUGUCAAUAUUUUUCAUGUCCGGAAUAUUGCAUUUGAUAUGGUCUUUUAUUUAUUUGGGUGUGUCUGUGAGGAAUCAUAGUGUCGAUCAAAAGUACAACUUAACACAAAAUAUAAAUUAUAUUAUUAUAAAACAUAAGAUCUAUGUAAAAUUUUGGUGACUGACAGCCUAAAUUGCAUUCUGUUCUACGCCGAGAUAAAUUCUAACUUGUUAUGUUUGUAGCUUGACUGCAGUUGGAUACUUUGAUGUCAUGAAUGAUUGUUUAUGAAAUGAAAGUUGCUGAUGGUUCAUACAGUUCACCCAUACAUAAACAUUUCCUCAUUUUUCACACACCCUUGUGUCUGUCCGUACCUGUAUUUUCUGACUAAACAUCAUUACAUCAGAUCUGCACCAAAUUUAAGUGAGAGUCAAUGGUUAAUAGAAAUUUCAAUAAAUAUACAAUAUCUUUGUAU